AUCUCAAGUGAAUCAGUGGUUGAACCAGGACCAGAUCCCAGUGUCCUAUCUUCUGGGACAUCCUCAGCCUGAAUUUUUAAUGCAUAUCCCUUCUGCAGUGCCUUUCCUCUGAGGCCCUCAAAGGGAAACUGAGACCUUUGAGGACAUGAAGACUUGAAUCAGGCCAACCAGAGGCCUUGGAACUCCAAAUCAAAGAGGAGAAGAAAGCAGUGUCCAGAGAAGGGGUGCAGGCUGAGGAGCUGCCCAGAGCACUGCUCACACUCCCAGAGUACCUGAAGUCGCUGUCCCAAUGACAGGUGACAAGGGUCCCCAGAGGCUGAGCAGGUCCAGCUAUGGCUCCAUCUCAAGCCCCACCAGCCCAGGACCACAGCAAGUGCCUCCCAGAGAGACCUACCUGAGUGAGAAGAUCCCCAUCCCAGACACGAAACCGGUGGGACGCUGGAAACUUUUUUUUUUUUUUUUUUAGAGGAAGAAAGAGAGAAAGAAAGAAAAAGAAUAGAA